rnacentral:rRNA from 1 species
CCAGCAGCCGCGGUAAUUCCAGCUCUUAGUGUGAAUUUGGAUGUUGCUGCAGUUAAAAAGCUCAUAGCCAAUUUUACAGGCAUGAAGUAUUUAUUUGCCCAAUCAUGCAAAUGAAAGGGUAGUAAAUGACUUAAAGCAAGAAAAAACUUUAGAUUCUCUAGGUGGUGUAAGAGCUUACUUAGGACUUUUUAUCUUUACGCAGAUAAAGAGUUUUCUGAAGUGUUAUAACUUUGAAUAAAUUAGAGUGUUCAAAACAAGCUAUAUAGCUUUGAAUAUAUUAGCAUGGUAUUAUACAAUAUGACAAAUCUAGGUCAUACAAAGUUCUGGAGGUUGAAAGAUCUCAAAGAAUCUGGAUUUGUAAUGAGAGAAAAAAAUAAAAUGAGUGACCUGUAUUCUCAGGGGAAAGGUGAAAUUUUAUGAUCCUGAGAGGACAAACUGAUGCGAAAGCUCUCCACUGAGAUGUUUUUUUUAGUCAAGAACGAAAGUUCAGGGCGCGAAGAUGCUUAGAUACCAUCGUAGUCUGAACGGUAAACAAUGGUAAACAAUGUUGAUUUAGGAUGUGUGAUCAUUAUUUUAUGACUUCAUACGCACUAUACGAGAAAUCCAGAAUAUUCGAACUCUGGGGGUAGUAUAGUCGCAAGACCGAAACUUAAAAGAAUUGACGGAAGAGCACCACAAGGCGUGGAAUCUGCGGCUUAAUUUGACCCAACUCGGGAAAACUUACCAGGACAAGACGUAAAAAGGAUUGACAGAUUGAUAGCUCUUUCAUGAUAAUACGAAAGGUGGUGCAUGGCCGUUUUUAGUUGGUGGUUUGAAUUGUCUGGUUAAAUCCGAUAACGAACAAGACCUUUUCCUGCUAUUUAGCUUAGGAGGGUCUGAUAAAAUUGGGAAGAUUCUCUUGUCAAUGACUUCAGAAUCCCAAAACUUAGCUUCUUAGAGGCACGCUUUUUGUUUGUGAAACAAUUAAAAGGAAGAAAGACAAUAACAGGUCUGUUAUGCCCUUAGAUAUUCUGGGCUGCACGCGCGUUACAAUGAAAUGGUCACUUAGCAAUAGACCAACUUAGAGAUAACUACAGGAAAUCUCUGAAACUAUUUCGUGAUGGGGAUAGUGUUUUGCAAUUAUCGCACUUGAACAAGGAAUGCCUUGUACAGAUGUAUCAUUAAUGCAUCUGGAAUAAGUCCCUGCUCUUUGUACACACCGCCCGUCGCUUCUACUGAUUGAAUUUUGUGAUGAGGACCUUGGACUGUAGACGCUUGCAUUAGCCAGCAAUGGUGAUAUGCAAAGUAUUUGCUCUUGAGUGAUUACUUUUUAGAAAUUUGUUCGAAUCUUGCAAUUUAGAAGAAGGAGAAGUCGUA